UUCUACUUGGUCCUGCUGAUGACUGUAGCAUACUUUUCAUGACUAUUGGCUUGUGAUGAACAAUAAGAUGGAUAAGAAAACGAUAUUGAGAACCGGAUUGAAAAAAUUCAAAAAUACCUGGAGUAAAAAGAAGAAUUUGAAGAGAAUUGUUGAAAUCAGGAAUUUUAUGAGGGCGCUUAUAGAAGAACGAAAACUAAAAACUCUUUGUUUAGAUAUGAAGAAUCCAUGAUUUUUCCUGACAUAAAAGAAGAUAGAAAAGGUACUAUUAGCAAAAAUGACAUAAUUGUAAGAAUAAAUUCUGGAAUAUGUGAUACCGUUACAGAAAAAUAUGUUGAAUAUAAAAAACCAAAAGAAAACUUGGAGCUCAAACUGUUCAAAAUAAAUGAUUUCGAAAAAAAAGACACACCAAUUUCGGGAAUAAAACCUUAUUCAGGAUUCGUUACACAAACCAGGGCAAUAUAUUCUAAAUGACAUGUAAGGACAUGUUAGAUGACAUGUAAGAAAUAUUAGAAUUGGAAUAAUUCUACAAUCUGCUACAAUUCCAUAAUACGUUCUAUGAAUUUUACAUUUUUUUUCUCCGGCGGUUUUUAUAAAUACAGCUUCAGUGCUUUCUUCUGCAGAUAUUUAUUCUGUGUAUCUGUAACUUAUAACUUUUAAUUUAAUUAUUGAUAUUUCAUUGUUUUAUAUCAUUGAAAACGUUUGAAACAAUAAAUAGUAUCAGCUUGGUCAUCA